GAUGAACGCUGGCGGCGUGCUUAACACAUGCAAGUCGAACGAUGAAGCCCAGCUUGCUGGGUGGAUUAGUGGCGAACGGGUGAGUAACACGUGAGUAACCUGCCCUUAACUCUGGGAUAAGCCUGGGAAACUGGGUCUAAUACCGGAUAGGAGCGUCCACCGCAUGGUGGGUGUUGGAAAGAUUUAUCGGUUUUGGAUGGACUCGCGGCCUAUCAGCUUGUUGGUGAGGUAAUGGCUCACCAAGGCGACGACGGGUAGCCGGCCUGAGAGGGUGACCGGCCACCCCGGGACUGGGACACGGCCCAGAACCCUACGGGAGGCAACAGUGGGGAAUAUUGCACAAUGGGGGCAAGCCUGAUGCAGCGACGCCGCGUGAGGGAUGACGGCCUUCGGGUUGUAAACCUCUUUCAGUAGGGAAGAAGCGAAAGUGACGGUACCUGCAGAAGAAGCACCGGCUAACUACGUG
rnacentral:rRNA from 1 species